rnacentral:rRNA from 1 species
CGUAGGUGGCAAGCGUUAUCCGGAAUUAUUGGGCGUAAAAGCGCGCGUAGGCGGUUUUCUUAAGUCUGAUGUGAAAGCCCCACGGCUCAACCGUGGAGGGUCAUUGGAAACUGGGAAACUUGAGUGCAGAAGAGGAAAGUGGAAUUCCAUGUGUAGCGGUGAAAUGCGCAGAGAUAUGGAGGAACACCAGUGGCGAAGGCGACUUUCUGGUCUGUAACUGACGCUGAUGUGCGAAAGCGUGGGAUCAAACAGGAUU